AUUCCAGCAUUAGAAGCUAGCAGAUGUCCAGGAAGGCAUGAGGUUAGAGGGGAAAAUUCUACCACCAGAGAACUCCAUUUUCCCUAUCUAUACAACAAAAAAUGUAUAGGGACAGACCCUUCCUGGGAAGUCAAUUCAUCAAGGCCGUUGAUGGAGAGCAAAGGGAACGUCACUUUCCUUUCCUGACUGUCAGAUACUUACUCAAUUCAGAGGCACAUUGGACUUGAUCACAGGUUUUGUAAAAAGGGGAUUAUAUCUAACCCUUCAUUUUUAUAAAUAAAGACCCCUUCGGCCAAAAGAGGAAAUGACUAAAUCCCAAGGAUCUUCUACAAUAGAGGAGAUUUGAAGCCAGGUUUUCUGCUUCUGAAUGCUGGACCUGGAUCUUCACUUCACCAGGAUCUUCCUAAGGCAACAAGAGAGCCACAUUGUCCAUCACCCUGGAAACCCUGAGCACAAUACAACGGAAAAGAUGUUGGAGGUUCAAAUCCACACGCCUUCCUGAAUAUGUAGGUUCAGACCCUUCUUGGGAAGUCGAUUCAUCAAGGGCACUGAUGGAGAGCAAAGGAACGUCAUUUUCCUUUUGUGACCAUAAGUCACAAACUGGUUGCUCAGUUCAAACAAAUAGCAGAGAAAAGCAUCUUGGAUCUGGUCUAUCCCCCCACCCCCCAAAUUAAAACAAAAAAAUAAAUAAAGCCAACAUCUGUGUACUUCCUUCCUCCCCUUCCGUGUUCCCCUUUCCUCCCACUAAUCCACACUAAAGACAGAUGUAGAAACCUGAUCUUUUAAAGGCUAAAAAAAAAAAAGCCUGAUAAUAUGACUGGGACCAAAGUAGUAUCAUAUGGU